GAGAUAUAGUGUGAGAAACGGAGAGACAGGAUGGGGCCAGCCACCACUGCCGGUGGCGGAGCCACGGCGGAUUUGUCGGCGUCUUCUCAGCAUCGGCGAGUGUUGUACCCCUACCUAUAGAGUAGAAGACAAGGAAUUCGGUGAGGCGGUGCGAGCUAGGGUUCUGACGUGACUCCGGUUAACUCCUGCACGAAUUCCGGCCUCCAGUUAAGCUCCGACGACUUCUCCGGUUACCGAUCUGGGUCUGCAUGUUAAAUCUUAAAGAUUAGUGGAUGACCCGUAUCCGGAAGUCGGCGUGGGUACAAAGGACGGCUGGCAACAGUGGUUGCUGGAACUUAUCUUGAUUCAAGAACUGAUAUGGGUGUUUGUUUGAUAGAUGUUAAUCAAUUAAUCAAUGGGCUGAAAGUUUAAGUUUUUCAAGAAAAUUGAUCAAGAUGGUGAGAGGGAAGACUCAAAUGAGGAGAAUGCUGAAGUUGCUUUGAUCAUCUUCUCUCCAAGAGGGCUUUAGCCUCGUCUCUUUAGAUCAAGUGCAAGAGAGCUUAUUUAGAUUCAUGUGCAAGAGUGACAAUGAUAAAAUAAACUAGCAAAAACGCAGGAGUUUAAGGGUCGUACUGCUCAUCAUUUUACUUGAUUUUUGCCUCUCAAAUCUCAUGACUACACCUGUAUAACCAGCCUAUUAGAGUUUGUUAGGAAUAUUUUAAAUGACAUAAACAAAUUUGUAUUUAUUGGUUUCAAGUAUGUAGCUAAAUAGAAAAAUGAAAUAUAGAGUUGGUUCGGAACACUUUGGUUGAUUUCAUGUAACAUUGAAGA